AGACACCAGAGCCUCCAUCGCAACCCUCGGCGCGACCCCUGCGGCCCCCCAGAAUCCGGCCCGCUCGCCUUCCGCCCCUUCCCUCUCCCGCCCAGCCGCACUCCCAUCCCCAGUCACAGCUCCUCGCUCCGCACUCAGGCAGGGGCUGCAAAGGGGCCACGUGUCCUAGACUGCCAUCAGUUUAUCGAUCUGAGUUGGCUGCAAUGGUUCAUCCCCACCACAAGCCAGCGCUGUGGUCCCUUGGAAGCACCCACCUGGCCACCGCUGGCCAGGUAGGAAGCGCCCUCUUGCUGCUGGGUGGGGAAUCUCUGACUUCCAGGGCCCAGGAGGCUGCGACAGAGUCUGCCCAGUCAGGACAGGUGACAACGGGCUGAAGCCUAGGUACAACCACCUCCCCCUGCUUGAGUCCUGUGGGCUGAUAACUUUGUAUGGCCGACAAAAAAGACAGAAAAAGGUUCCCUCCGCCCGCCUUAGACCAUCCAUUAAUCCUGACGCUUGAGGGCUUUUAGGAGCAUGAGGGGGCCCAAGCUGCUGCCCGCCAUUUCUAAGGGCAGCGAGGGUGUCUCUGUGCCACCCAAACCCUGGAAGCUCGGAAGCUUCCUUUCCACAGGCCCCUCCCAUCCAGGGAAUGGGACCGAGCAGGAGGCUCUGAGGGUGGGGGGGGGGGGAAAGACCCCCAGAGAAAAGCGGGUGGGGCAGCUGCCUCAGAGGGACCUGAGAAAGGUGGCAGGGAAAGCCCAGCAGAAGGGGGGGUCGCAGAGGACUCGCCCAAGCCAGCAAUGCCUCCGUGUGGGUGUGAAAAGCCCGUGCAGUUUGGGGCGGGAUGUGCUAAAUUUGAAGCUUGAUGAAUACGAGAAUCCCAAGCACAGGGGAUGAUGACAUGGGAGUGAAUGAAAUCCCUGAGGGACACUCUCUUCUUUCUCACAAGUGUCAAACUCAAAUAGAAAUAUCUGGACCAGAGGAACCUGUGGGCUGACUUGGUUUUAAAAUGUUAUGUCUUAUGUUUUACUGUAUUUUAUUUUGUUAAAUGUUUUCCCAAUUAACUUUACUAGAGGCCAGGCAGCACUUUGGAGGGCUGUGAGUCACAUGUUUAAUACUUCUGGUUUAACAUGCUCACUGACUUUGAUAAAGGCACAGUCUUCAAAUGCGCAGAUGGCAGCCUGCCUGUCAGAGGCGGUUCCAAAAAGAUCUCAGCACACAGAGCACUGGGCUGAACGGAAUAAUGUAAAACUAAAUAGGGGCCAAUGUAAAAGUUUACAAGGGCUCAAAAAACCAAUUUCACCAGUAGAGGAUGGGUACUUGGCAGGGAGGCUAGCUUACAAGGCCUUAUUUUAGCUUGUUUUCUGCAGGCAACAUCUGGCAAGCUAAGAGGAGCUUUGCUCUAAUAAGCCAGAUGUUUCCUUCCUAUGUGAUAACAGGCCCACUAGAAGAGAGCAGAGGGAAUCACUUAAUGGGCUAACCAAAAAGUUUGAGAGAGGAGUCUCAUUUUUACUCAGUUUUAUGUUUUUCACAUUCCCAAAUUCAAUUUACAUUUGGGUUCACAUUUCCCUUCUGAAAUAUAUAGAAUAAUUUGUCUGAAAAAGAUCUUGGGGAUUUAUAGGUAAUUUAGCAAGGUGACAGGCAGCCCAAAAAGCUGCUGCAGUCUUGCACCACAGCUUCUGGAAUGAGAUUAUAAGGCCUUUGUAGUCUGGACAACCACUGGUUUAAGGAGAGCACUGAGGAUUCAGACUGCUCUGGAAAAGCACUGAAUGAGGUCCCUUCUAACCAUCAGCCCACUAGUGCCUGUACCAACUCUGGCCCCCCAACUUCUCCAGCACUUACAGCUGCAAACACCUCUCAUUUCAUAUUAGCACAUGUUCAUGUCAGCCUUCUAUUGCUAUUUCACCUUAGUACGUGUGGAACAGAGACUAGAUUCCACACUCCUUUGGAUUUUUCCCAGAAACCACCAGAACUUUACCACCUUGUGCAUGGGGAGUUCCAGACAACAAAAGUCAUCACCUUUUUCAGAGAAGAAAACCUGCCUCUAGAAUAGGCUGUAGGCCCUCCUUCCUGAAGAUGGAUGGGUUCCACAUGGCUGCGCGGGCCACCAUCACGGAAGAUGCUGAAGUCACUUGCCGGAAGGCUUCUAGGUCUGAAUAUACUUUGAUGUGGUCGUGAGAUCCUCCACUGAAAGCCAACACAAGGAGUUAUCACUAUUUUCAAUGAUGUGAACAUCCCCCCCCCAAAAAAAGAGUGGUGCUGGGCAACCCCCCCCGCCUGAGAGCUGCGAGAUUCCCCGUGGGGUCAAAACAAGAGGGAAUCCAGGGAGCUAGCAGCCACAGGCCACCAUCCCUCAGCGGGCUGUGAAAUGGGGAGAAUGUCACCUUCUACUUUGGUAGGCUGCAGCCGGACACCCCAAGCAACUGGCUAACAACACGCCCACACCCACUGUCCCACCUCUGACAUUUCUGCUAUAAGGAUGAGAGUCAUAAAUACCAGACCUGGACGCCUGGAUCAAGGGCCAAGAAUGGGCACCAGGAGGGGGUUUCUGUUUUCCCAGAAGCGUCUCCAACUCCCUCUUGGAGAGGACCGUCACCCUAACUAGGUCUGAGACCAGCAGCUGCUGCUUUCAGCCAAGCUGACUUGACAUUCGGUUCCCAAACAUGGCUUCCAUAGUCCCAUCUGCAGGCUGGGGGUGGGGUGGGGAGGAGGGACACAUCUUUGGCUUUUGUCCUGCUAUUAGUAUGUCUUUGUUGCAGAUCUCCCUAAUACACUGUACACGCUACCCCUAAAUCCUAUUACUCUCUAGUCCUUGCCCACCACCUGCUGACUUAGUGCUUUGAUGUGACAGCUUCCCUGGCUCCAGCCUCCCCAUCACCAACUUUGCCCCCCAUCUGGUCUGUUCCUCCACCUGCCCCUCCUGUCUUACUUUGCUUCAAGAAGUAACUAAAAGGAUGUCUUUGGUGGAAUGAGAAGAUAUUGUAA